rnacentral:lncRNA from 1 species
AAUUAUAUAUUAAAGAAAAGUUAAAAGGACCAAAUAGGCAAUUAUGCCUUUUUCUAAAGUUGAGGCGGCAUAAUGAAAGAAAUAUCUGAGAUAUUCUAGUUAAUAUAUAUAUUAUAUAUAUGUAAGUAAUGAUUAUUAUUAAUAUUUUAUAUUAUAUUAUAUUAUAUAUAUAUAACAAAAGAAAGAAUAGAAAUGAGAAAGAAAGAAACAGAGAGCAAAACGAAACAGAGAAGGGAGAAAGAAGAAAAAGAAAGAGCGACGGUUCAGGGGUUUCAAAACUUCUAAAUUCAAUUGAUCAAGAAGUACGAAACUCGAGGUUAGACAAAGGGAAGAAUAAAGUUGAAGACUAAGUUGAUGAAUUUGGCUAUAAUUGGUACCGAGGUAAGUUUACGGUAAAUAAAUGCAAUAUUUCAAUAUUUAUUAUUAAUGCUGUUAAUUUCCAGCAAUUAUGAAUUUAUUUUAUGAAUUUAUUUGAUGAUGAUCCAAGCAUGAAAUGAUAGAGAAUUAAAAUUUAAAAGUCCCGUUGAUACAUAAGGAUGGUACUGGAUACGAAUGUCAUGACAUUUGGGUAAAGAGAUCCCAUGUAAGACCAUGUCUGGGACAUGGCAUUGGCAUCCUUAAGAUCAUGAGAGGUCCCCUGUAAGACCAUGUCUGGGACAUGGCAUGGGCACCGAGACGAGAGGUCUCAUGUAAGACCAUGUCUGGGACAUGGCGUUGGCACCGAGAUGAGAGGUCCUCUAUAAGACCAUGUCUGGGACAUGGCUUUGGCAUGUUAUUAUCAGAAGAGACCCGAGUAUCCUUAUUAUUCUAAUGUAGUUCAACGGGCUUGUAAACGAAUCAUGUUCAUGAAAGUUCAGUUUAAAGCAUAAAUGGUAAGCUCAGGUAAGUUGUAAGACUUAAGAACUUAUUAUACUAUCAAUUGAUGUUCAACGAUGCAGCAAUGAUUGAGUAAGUUAUGCACACAAAUAUUCUAAGUAAACAAGUAAGAGAACUAGUAUGAGAUUAACUAAAGAAUAAACUAGAGAUAUAGACAUUGAGUUUAAUUAUUUAAGUUAAAUAUUGUUAUUUAUUUGCUAGUAAACUUACUAAGCUUUAUGCUUACUUCUUUUAUUUCUCUUUCUCUUAUAGUAUUGCAAAGCUACUUCAAGGAUCCUAAAGAAGUCGGAGAUCGUCCACACUAUCAACUACAACUGCUCGGUAUUUUAUAUCGAAACACGUUUAAGUUAUGACAUGUAUAGGGAUUUAGUUAUUUUGUAUGUUUGUAGUGAUGAUUUUGCUAAUGAGUGAUGUGUAAGUAUUUGAUGAUGUAUGGUUAUUAAAAUGAUUAAGGAUGAAGGUGUUUGUUGUUAUGAAAGAUUAGGUGAUAAAUUAUGCAUGGAAAUCAUGAAAGGA